rnacentral:misc_RNA from 1 species
AGAUGCGUGCAGCAUGCAUCCUAUGUUCUAGUGCAGAUGUGCCUGGCAUUUCAUCAUUUUUAUGUUAAAGCGUAAUGUUCACUGGUCUCCCUAUUGUAUUUGUCUGUCCUUCCAUGUGAUAAGUUUUAAGAUUCAUCAAAUGGAUUCUGAAGGACGGCAAUUUUUUUUGUUAGUCUUUAUAUGAUGAGUACAUAUUUCUCUCUAUUCAUCCUAACUCUUGUGUUGAUUUCAGGAUUUUGUACCAAGAGAUUGAUU